CCUACGGGAGGCAGCAGUGAGGAAUAUUGGUCAAUGGACGAGAGUCUGAACCAGCCAAGUAGCGUGAAGGAUGACUGCCCUAUGGGUUGUAAACUUCUUUUAUAUGGGAAUAAAAUGUUCCACGUGUGGGCUUUUGUAUGUACCAUAUGAAUAAGGAUCGGCUAACUCCGUGCCAGCAGCCGCGGUAAUACGGAGGAUCCGAGCGUUAUCCGGAUUUAUUGGGUUUAAAGGGAGCGUAGGUGGAUUGUUAAGUCAGUUGUGAAAGUUUGCGGCUCAACCGUAACAUUGCAGUUGAAACUGGCAGUCUUGAGUACAGGAGAGGUGGGCGGAAGUCGUGGUGUAGCGGUGAAAUGCUUAGAUAUCACGAAGAACUCCGAUUGCGAAGGCAGCUCACUGGACUGCAACUGACACUGAGGCUCGAAAGUGUGGGUAUCAAACAGGAUUAGAUACCCGAGUAGUC
rnacentral:rRNA from 1 species